GUUUUGUACUUAAACUAAAUUUAUAACAUAGAAAGUGGGAGAAUUUUUUGAUGAAACUCGCUACUUCUAAUUUUUGGGGAAUUCAAUCAAUGUUUCAACCAUUUUUAGUCUGAGAGAUAUUUAAUUAAAACUCAUUGUGAGAUUAAAGCUGCAUGACCUUUAGAAAAAACAAUUUUAAAUUAAUCGGCCAUACCUAUUUUGUAAAUAAUAAGUUUUCUACUUUAUUUUCAGGUAAAGCUUUUGAGAAGUAUGAAAUUUAACUAAACUUCCAAAACCUGAAUGAUGCAGAGAUUAAACAUCUUUAAAAACUUUAUGAAUAUGGGCUUUCAAAUUCACAGAAGGCCACUGACUUCACUCUGCACAAAAUAUCUGCUCAAAGAUGUCUCAUUUUCUCCAAAUUUAUUUACUCCUAUGAUCAAUCAAGUUCGUACUUUUAAAGACAAAGAUGUGCUGACCAAGCGAUGUAAAGAUUGCUACUUUCGAAGACUUGAUGGCCGGUGGUUUGUGUUUUGUAAUACACAUCCUAGACAUAAGCAACGUCAAAGAGUCGAUGAAAAAAGUAAAUGGAUAAUUACACAUAAAACUCAUGGUGUUAAAAAAUUUUAGUGUCAAUUUUUUCUGUACUAUUCAAUAAUUAAAUAAACUAUGUUAUAGAUAAUAA